GACGAACGCUGGCGGCGUGCUUAACACAUGCAAGUCGAACGGAAAGGCCCUGCUUUUGUGGGGUGCUCGAGUGGCGAACGGGUGAGUAACACGUGAGUAACCUGCCCUUGACUUUGGGAUAACUUCACGAAACUGGGGCUAAUACCGGAUAGGAGCUCCUGCUGCAUGGUGGGGGUUGGAAAGUUUCGGCGGUUGGGGAUGGACUCGCGGCGUAUCAGCUUGUUGGUGGGGUAGUGGCUUACCAAGGCUUUGACGGGUACCCGGCCUGAGAGGGUGACCGGCCACCUUGGGACUGAGAUACGGCCCAGACUCCUACGGGAGGCAGCAGUGGGGAAUAUUGCACAAUGGGCGGAAGCCUGAUGCAGCAACGCCGCGUGCGGGAUGACGGCCUUCGGGUUGUAAACCGCUUUCGCCUGUGACGAAGCGUGAGUGACGGUAAUGGGUAAAGAAGCACCGGCUAACUACGUG
rnacentral:rRNA from 1 species